CAAUGUGCUAGAUACCGCGCCAAAUGCUUCCAGUGCAGAGGUGACAAACACACUGAUCCAAGCUGUUAAACCAGAUUGCCUUUGGAUGGAGAAACUGAGGCACAAGGAGAGCCGAAAUGACUUGCCCAAGUGUCUGCGACAGAACUGGGGAUGGAGCCCUGAAUUCGUGGUUCCUCAUCCUAUGCAUUAACUCUGAGGCCAUUCUUCGUCACAAGGCUCUUCUUGCUGUGGUGUAGUUUUGAUGCCUGAUGAGUUGCUUGGUGCUGGCCAGUGCUGUGUGGCUUGCAGGAGCAGUGGUUUCAGGUACAACUGAUACCCUGGGGCCCACCGCACCGUUGGGGGCAGAGGUGCUGGGAUUGCUGGGAGUAGCCAGUGGCAGGAGCUGGAUCUCGCAGGGGAACGAUUUGAAGGGACUCGGGGAUUGGGGUGCAACGAUUGGUACCCUGCAAGGCCAGGUUAGGGCUGGCAUUGCCCAGAGGCCAGUGCGUGAGGGAGGGAGCUGACACCCAGCUUCCACAGGGAACACCCUUUCGUUGGAGGCAGGGGUAACAGGGCGACUCACAGUCCUGAGCACAGUCCAAGAACCUCCUCUCCCCAGAACAAUGGGAUGGCUCUCCUGCUCCUCCCCCCUCCUUUCUCCCUCCAGCAACACCUGGCCUGGAAAGG